rnacentral:lncRNA from 1 species
CUCAUAUGCUUUAUUUUUGUCAAAAUAAGCUAAUAAACAUCGCUGAUGAUUUAUUCCCUUGCAAGUGAAUAUUUCAACUUCAUUGAAUCUGUAACUUUGAAUUAACCCCUUAGCUAGAGAUGGGUUAUGCAUAAGCUAGAUGUGUUCACCUAUUUAAAGGAAGAGAAUGUUAAUUAUUCGAACUUGAGGUAUUUAACCUAGUACACCACUUUGAUUUAUGUAUACUGUCAACACGAAAUUGGCGAUCCUAUAACACAAAUUUCUGUACCAACAACAUAUAAUUUUAAAAAAAACUCAAUAUAAAAAAAAUUAGAAAUUUAAGUAUGUUUUUCGCAAAUUUUAUUUGCAUUCUAUACAAAUGUUCACGUUUUUUGAAAGAACUUAAUCAAUAAUUAUUUUAAAAUAUAUUUGAUAGUAAUGUAAAACAUGUAAAAAUAUAAAAACCACACAAGUACACACAAAAUAUUGAAAAACAAAAACCGUUUGAUGUGUUUAUAGAAAAAAAAUUGUUGCAUAAUGUCGAAAGGUUAGAUACAUCUAUCAAAGCCCGUUAUGGACUGCUCCAAUAAAUUCGAUCAACAAUUGUGAAUGUUUUAUGAUAUAUUACCAUUUUAUACUAUGAAUACUGUUAAUCUUUUCAUGAACUUUUUUUCUCAUAAAAAUCUAUAUUUAUCAUAUAUGUGUAUUAGGCCAAAAAAAGAUAUAUGUGUGGUUCCAGUUAAUAUCAUACUUUUUAGUCUUAAUAUUAGAAAAGACUUUUUUUGUUAUUUUCAUUAAGCACUGUUAGAGUCGGAAUGUUGCUACCAUAGACCAUAAUAGACACAAUGUAUAAAAUAACACCAUGAAAUAAAAAAAAAUCCUACCUAUAUAUAGCUACGUACCCUUACUUUUUAUGCCCCUGCCAUAGCGGAGGGGGGCAUUACAUUUUGCCCAUGUCCACCUGUAUGUACAUACUUCUCAAAGAUGGUUUAGGUUCUUUAACUUUAGUUUACCUCAACCAAAUGUUAUGAAACUUGUAUAUACACAAUACUUUUUACCACAAAACACAGAUUAAGUUUUAAUUUUGGUGGCAUCACUUAACCAUUCUAGAGUAAUUCCC